UCUUAUGGAUGAGCAGAGAAAGGGGUCUCUUAAGAUGGAAUUCGCUCCUGGUGAAGAUGCUGUGAA
rnacentral:pre_miRNA from 2 species